rnacentral:misc_RNA from 1 species
GCAGCCUAGGACCAAAUCCAAUGCCAAAUGUACUUGGCUAGUCGGCACAAACGUGUGAUAGCGUAUACAUUAGUAUUGGUGACAGGCAGAAUGGCAUACAAUAUACUACAAAUCAUAUCCUAUGUGGCGAAGGGCCUCAACAUGAUCAUCAGAAUCCAAGACAACCACAGAGAACCCGCGAGAGACAACACACAAAUCGAUGAGGCAUUGCAGAUCAUCCAGAGACAACAAAGUAACAUCGACCAGCUAAUAAAAGACCAGCGGCAACAGGAGCAGGUGAUGGAGAGGCUUCUGGCACUAGUAGAAAAGAUGGAUGGAGCUAUGAGUGGAUCAUCAGCAAUGAAUUCAAACAGCAUGCAAAAUGUGUCUCUAGUUCUUAACUUGCCUGAGGACUCGCAGGACUGCAAUUCGAUCGUUCAUUCUCUCUACUGGACUCUUCGAAACAACAUGAACCAUUCUCAAAGGAGUGUCACGGGAGGGGAUUCCGGACGGCGUGUGCUGCAGGUCUCAGCGAUGUUUCAAUGUGACCGUUGCAACAAUAAGUUUGAUAAGGAGAAACGCCAGCCGUUAGUCUUAUCCGAAUGUGGCCAUACUUACUGCAGGAUUUGCAUACAGGAGAGCAGCCAAGAUCGCUUCAUGUGCCCCAAGUGUAGUAUUAUAUCACGCGACCUCGAGGAUUUGCCCAUCAACCGGACCCUCUACCAGAUACUGGAUGCGGAAGGCCGUGGAGAGGACCAGGGCUACGACCCCGCAGGAAGCCCAAACUCCUUCGCUGCCGGUCUUCCAGCUGGGGAGGAGGAGGAGGAGCGCCAGGCGAUGCUGGAGCAGCUCAGGAGGAUCAGGGGCGCCGAGAGCGAAGGCGAGGAUGUGCCCGAAGGAGCGGACGGCGACGGAGGCCUGUCUCUCAAGAACCUCAACGUGAGUGACGAUGAAGGGGGGGCUUGCGGCUUCAGCGAUGCCUUCCAUACAGAGUGGGAUAAAGAAUGGGCGAGAAAGAAACUGGAGGAGGAAAAUGAAAGGGACGAAGCCGAACAAGAGGAGAAAAGGCAAAGGAGGUUGGAGAAAAGGAUGAUUAGACUUCAGAGAAUAGAACAGGAACAGUUAGAGCUGGCUUUAGCCCUCUCGGAAUCGCUCCAGGAAGCCCAGCGUGUAGAGCAAGAAUCUUGAAUUUACAGAGUUGGCACUGUUUCCUUGAUAUGAUUGAGGGAAAGAGAAAAAAGCAGUCAAUUAGACAGUAUGUAGGAUGCAACAUUUUAUUACAACACCAUUUUGUUAAAUAUGAAUACAAACACAUUUGUUUUGAACGCUGCGAGUGAUACAUUAAUUCAUUGUAGUACAUUAUAACCUACUGAUUAAGCUUAUGAAUUUAGUUCUUACCUCAGUACGUAAACACACUCAUACACACACAUACAUAUAUGGGUGUGUGUGUGUUUAUGUAAGUAUGUGCCCGUGAAAAUGUUACAUUGGGACACAGUGUGCGAGACGGUUGGCGGUGAAAGGCUAGAAUAUCAAGAUUUAAAUUAUUAUAUUUUCUAAAUGCUACUCAUUCUAGUCGAUACAUGAUAUGUUGUUAUUUACUAAAAACUACUCCUUCCCAUCAUUAAUGAAUCCAAGGAGAGUACUUACUUUUUUAGAACAGAAGAGGUUAAAGUAGAGGGAGUUCUUCUGUAUUUGAUUAUAAUACAGUGUUAAACGGCUCUUAUUUCUAUAUUAACCUAAAUGUGUACACAAAAUAGGUCAGUAUCAGUGGUCAGUAGCCAGAAUUAUUGUACGAAUAUCCAAACUUCUGUAAUCCUUUGUUAUGAAGAAGCUAACAAAUUUCAACCUGAACUACGACGACGCCUCCUGCCCGCAUACCGUCCAGCAAAGCGGCCUGCCCUGAUCUCCCUCCGUUUCCGUACCCCGGACAUGCCCUUUCUGUAUCUCGCCUCUCCUCUCCCCAUCCUUUCCCUUCCUCUUCCCUACCUCCCUUUACUUAAAGAUGAAACCCAAGUAGAAUUUGAAUCUGCUGUCUUAUUUUUUAAUAAACCUAUUUGCGUA